rnacentral:rRNA from 1 species
GAUGAACGCUGGCGGCGUGCCUAAUACAUGCAAGUCGAGCGAACAGAUGAGUGGCUUGCUCCUGUGACGUUAGCGGCGGACGGGUGAGUAACACGUGGAUAACCUACCUAUAAGGCUGGGAUAACUUCGGGAACCCGGAGCUAAUACCGGAUAAUAUAUGGAACAGCAUGGUUCCAUAGUGAAAGACGGUUUUGCUGUCACUUAUUGGUGGAUCAGCGCCGCAUUAGCUAGUUGGUAGGGUAACGGCUUACCAAGGCAACGAUGCGUAGCCGAUCUGAGAGGGUGAGCAGCCACACUGGAACUGAGACACGGUCCAGACUCCUACGGGAGGCAGCAGUAGGGAAUCUUGCGCAAUGGGCGAAAGCCUGACGGAGCAACGCCGCGUGAGUGAUGAAGGUCUUCGGAUCGUAAAGCACUGUUAUUAGGGAAGAAAAACUGUGUAAGUAACCAGGCACGGCAUGACGGUACCGAAUCAGAAAGCCACGGCUAACUACGUG